rnacentral:lncRNA from 12 species
AUUAAAAACGUCAUGGACACAGUUAGUGAAGGCAGCAUCUGGGUAGUCCUGUCUAGUGCAGGAAAGAGCUAGCUGACCUCCUCAUAAGGUUGGUAGCCACUGGAGAGGGUGAUUAUGUUGACACAGGAGCCCAAGAAAGAAGGGAGCUGACCCUGCCCAGGGGUGUGGUUAGACCAGAAAGAGAGUCACUGCUGAAUGAUUCUACCACAAACUUCCUCAACCGAGAGCACAUUCAAUUUUUCAUAAGGACGAAUGAUACUGAGUCACACAUUCAUGACCUUUGUUCCUGUCUCUGAAUCCCUCUAUCAGAAAAAUGUCUUUUGCCGCAACCCUGGAGGGGACGAGACACAAGGAAGAGGAAUAGAAUCUCUGGGCCAAAUAACAACCUCAUCUCAACUGGCAAAUAUUGUGAUAUUCUAUGGCUCAGGUCUUGUUUGUAAAGAUCUUCUUAGACAUUUUUAUUUAUUAAUGCUUGUCAGUGGAGGACUAUUUUUAAGCAUGUAUGAUUGCAUGCCAGUGGGAAAUGAGUCUCUUUGACGACAUUCCCCUGAAAUCCACUGCCUCUUGCUACGUUUCACUGAGAUUACCAUCUGGGAACCAAUCCCCUAGGUCCAGAGAGAGAGUAUCUCAUUGGCGUGGCUUAGAUCACAUUCCACCUAUCGCAUGCACAGGGGGCAUGGAAAGAGGUUCUCUGAUCUCCGUGACUUGGGCCAUAGAAAGCAGAAGCUACUUCCCACCAAUACCUUACACAAUUGCGAAAGGAAGACUCCUAGAAUGGAAAUCAAGGGGGGAUUAG